UCAUGAUGAACGCUAGCUACAGGCUUAACACAUGCAAGUCGAGGGGCAGCAUUUCAGUUUGCUUGCAAACUGGAGAUGGCGACCGGCGCACGGGUGAGUAACACGUAUCCAACCUGCCGAUAACUCGGGGAUAGCCUUUCGAAAGAAAGAUUAAUACCCGAUGGCAUAAUUAGACCGCAUGGUCUUAUUAUUAAAGAAUUUCGGUUAUCGAUGGGGAUGCGUUCCAUUAGGCAGUUGGUGAGGUAACGGCUCACCAAACCUUCGAUGGAUAGGGGUUCUGAGAGGAAGGUCCCCCACAUUGGAACUGAGACACGGUCCAAACUCCUACGGGAGGCAGCAGUGAGGAAUAUUGGUCAAUGGGCGCAGGCCUGAACCAGCCAAGUAGCGUGAAGGAUGACUGCCCUAUGGGUUGUAAACUUCUUUUAUAUGGGAAUAAAGUUUUCCACGUGUGGAAUUUUGUAUGUACCAUAUGAAUAAGGAUCGGCUAACUCCGUGCCAGCAGCCGCGGUAAUACGGAGGAUCCGAGCGUUAUCCGGAUUUAUUGGGUUUAAAGGGAGCGUAGGUGGACAGUUAAGUCAGUUGUGAAAGUUUGCGGCUCAACCGUAAAAUUGCAGUUGAUACUGGCUGUCUUGAGUACAGUAGAGGUGGGCGGAAUUCGUGGUGUAGCGGUGAAAUGCUUAGAUAUCACGAAGAACUCCGAUUGCGAAGGCAGCUCACUGGACUGCAACUGACACUGAUGCUCGAAAGUGUGGGUAUCAAACAGGAUUAGAUACCCUGGUAGUCCACACAGUAAACGAUGAAUACUCGCUGUUUGCGAUAUACAGUAAGCGGCCAAGCGAAAGCAUUAAGUAUUCCACCUGGGGAGUACGCCGGCAACGGUGAAACUCAAAGGAAUUGACGGGGGCCCGCACAAGCGGAGGAACAUGUGGUUUAAUUCGAUGAUACGCGAGGAACCUUACCCGGGCUUAAAUUGCAUUUGAAUAAUCUGGAAACAGGUUAGCCGCAAGGCAAAUGUGAAGGUGCUGCAUGGUUGUCGUCAGCUCGUGCCGUGAGGUGUCGGCUUAAGUGCCAUAACGAGCGCAACCCUUAUCUUUAGUUACUAACAGGUCAUGCUGAGGACUCUAGAGAGACUGCCGUCGUAAGAUGUGAGGAAGGUGGGGAUGACGUCAAAUCAGCACGGCCCUUACGUCCGGGGCUACACACGUGUUACAAUGGGGGGUACAGAAGGCAGCUACCUGGUGACAGGAUGCUAAUCCCAAAAGCCUCUCUCAGUUCGGAUCGAAGUCUGCAACCCGACUUCGUGAAGCUGGAUUCGCUAGUAAUCGCGCAUCAGCCAUGGCGCGGUGAAUACGUUCCCGGGCCUUGUACACACCGCCCGUCAAGCCAUGAAAGCCGGGGGUACCUGAAGUACGUAACCGCAAGGAGCGUCCUAGGGUAAAACUGGUA
rnacentral:rRNA from 1 species